AAAAAAACUUUAAAUGGAUUAAGUCGCCAACCAUUAAUUAUAAGAUUGAUCCUAGAAGGUGGGCUUUAGAUCUUUGCCACGUUCAUUUGCUACACCAGACAAUUUUGAAAGGCUUCUUGCGCUCAUAAAUACCUGAGAGAUGGCAAAGUUAAACACAGUUCUGCCUGCAGAUAAUUGAGAAAUAAAGAGAAACAUAGUCAAUAAAGCCAUAGUUAAUGAUUACUUGUAUGAUGGGUUUCUCCUCCUGACAAAAUAAGUAUUAAAUGGAAUGGAGCCAGGUGAGCAGUAUGCCUGCAGUGAAUCACAAACAACUUUUUUUGAAAGCGAAACCAAAAUCUUCAAUAAGUACUUGAU
rnacentral:lncRNA from 1 species